UACGUGAGGGUGCGAGCGUUUAAUCGGAAUUACUGGGGCGUAAAAGCGUGCGCAGGCGGGUUAUGUAAGACAGUUGUGAAAUCCCCGGGCUCAACCUGGGAAUUGCAUCUGUGACUGCAUAGCUAGAGUACGGUAGAGGGGGAUGGAAUUCCGCGUGUAGCAGUGAAAUGCGUAGAUAUGCGGAGGAACACCGAUGGCGAAGGCAAUCCCCUGGACCUGGUACUGACGCUCAUGCACGAAAGGCGUGGGGAGCAAACAGG
rnacentral:rRNA from 1 species